AUUGAACGCUGGCGGAAUGCUUUACACAUGCAAGUCGAGCGGCAGCGCGGGGGCAACCCUGGCGGCGAGCGGCGAACGGGUGAGUAACAUAUCGGAACGUACCCUGUCGUGGGGGAUAACUAUCCGAAAGGAUAGCUAAUACCGCAUACGACCUGAGGGUGAAAGCGGGGGAUCGCAAGGCCUCGCGCGAUAGGAGCGGCCGAUAUCGGAUUAGCUAGUUGGUGAGGUAAAGGCUCACCAAGGCGACGAUCUGUAGCUGGUCUGAGAGGACGACCAGCCACACUGGGACUGAGACACGGCCCAGACUCCUACGGGAGGCAGCAGUGGGGAAUUUUGGACAAUGGGCGCAAGCCUGAUCCAGCAAUGCCGCGUGCAGGACGAAGGCCUUCGGGUUGUAAACGUAGCUUUUGUACGGUAACGAAAAGACCUUCUUCUAAUACAGGGGGUCGAUGACGGUACCGUAAGAAUAAGCACCGGCUAACUACGUAGCCAGCAGCCG
rnacentral:rRNA from 1 species